UUUAAAAUAACAAGAGUCCUUUGUGCCUUUGGCUGGUAGGUGAGUGUGACACAGGAGGAGACCGUGACACACAUCUGUCAGAGGUCCAGAAGACUAUUGCUGUGCGAAGUUGGACACCUGAAGUUUGGUGAGAAGUUGCAGGCAGAAAAUUUGGGAUCGGGCUCUUGAAUCUACCUAAUUUACAGAUUGCAGAAACUCACCAGCUUUUAGUUCUUGGCAACAUAAAUGAAUUGGUGUAAAUGUUUUACAUUGCUUUGGGACACUGAGGCAGCCAUGAAAAGACAUGAAAGAGGACUUCUAGAACUACUUCACAAAGUGAGUUGCUCAAGGCAAGAAGACCCAGAGCCAGCAAGACUGAAACAAAAAGCAAAGGAGGUGAGCAUGGGCAC
rnacentral:lncRNA from 1 species